rnacentral:lncRNA from 1 species
GCCAAUCCAUUUCCACAUUCGAGAAGAAUGUUAUUUCCACAUUAGAGAAGAAUGUUAGAAAGCUGGCUGAAGACAAGCGAGAACCACUCUUUUCGCUGAGUCCUAGCCCUCCCACAGAGAAAGCAACCCAUGUCUCGUCCUCAGUGGCUUCUCUGGUAUGGUAGGAAGCUUUUAGUUUACCUACAUCGCUAUCCUAUUUCGCCACUUAUCCCGAAACCCUAUAUAUCUAAGUUCUAAAUCCAUAUUUGGUUAACAUACACCCGAAACAUAUAAAUUCUCAAUAUUUGGUUAGCACAAUAGAAAUAACACAUUUUCUCAUUCGAGUCAUAGCUCCUGGAGUGCCAAAGCAAAGGCAAUAGUAGGUAGUAUAAAGCAGCAGCCCUUAUAGUAAUGCAGAGUGACAUAAUAAAUCGAAAGAUUCUUUCAAGCUGGUUGGUUCCCCUUAUUUAGUCAAUUCCUUCUUAUUCAGUAUUUGGUGGGAAUGGUCAAGUCUCUUUUCUUUCCUAAAUGGAAUCAGGCUCGACCUUAUCUUUGAUUUCCUAUCAUAGGUAGCUAAAUGACAAAUUCUAUUAUAUAUCCAAAUCCGCUUAUGGUCUUAGGUUAAUAGUUUGUGGUAACUUCAAGAGAUAGAGAGAUCAUAGCUUAAUAUCAAAGGUCAAGAAAUCAAGGGGACAUACCUACCCUACGUUCGGCAUACAC